rnacentral:rRNA from 1 species
AACGCGAAGAACCUUACCUGGGCUCGAACGGCUUCUCAACGCCGGUGGAAACAUCGGUACCCCGCAAGGGGGUGGAGUCGAGGUGCUGCAUGGCUGUCGUCAGCUCGUGUCGUGAGAUGUUGGGUUAAGUCCCGCAACGAGCGCAACCCUUGUCCUGUGUUGCCAUACCGAAAGGUGGAACUCGCAGGAGACCGCCAGCGAUAAGCUGGAGGAAGGUGGGGAUGACGUCAAGUCCUCAUGGCCUUUAUGUCCAGGGCUACACACGUGCUACAAUGGACGGUACAAAGGGUCGCUAACCCGCGAGGGGGAGCCAAUCCCAAAAAACCGUUCUCAGUUCGGAUUGCAGGCUGCAACCCGCCUGCAUGAAGCUGGAAUCGCUAGUAAUGGCAGAUCAGCACGCUGCCGUGAAUACGUUCCCGGGCCUUGUA